UACGUAGGGUGCGAGCGUUAAUCGGAAUUACUGGGCGUAAAGCGUGCGCAGGCGGUUUUGUAAGCCAGAUGUGAAAUCCCCGGGCUUAACCUGGGAAUGGCAUUUGAAACUGGGCAGCUAGAGUGUGAUAGAGGAUGGCGGAAUUCCCGGUGUAGCGGUGAAAUGCGUAGAGAUCGGGAGGAACAUCCGUGGCGAAGGCGGCCAUCUGGAUCAACACUGACGCUGAGGCACGAAAGCGUGGGGAGCAAACGGG
rnacentral:rRNA from 1 species